rnacentral:tRNA from 1 species
GCCCUCGUAGCUCAAUGGAUCAGAGCAGUCCCGUCCUAAGGGAAAGAUGUAGGUUCGAUUCCUGUCGAGGGUACCA